rnacentral:rRNA from 1 species
CGGCAAAAGCUCAAAUUUGAAAUCCUGCGGGAAUUGUAAUUUGAAGGUUUCGUGGUCUGAGUCGGCCGCGCCCAAGUCCAUUGGAACAUGGCGCCUGGGAGGGUGAGAGCCCCGUAUGGCGCACGCCGACUCUUUGUACCCCGCGGCUCCCACGACUCGAGUUGUUUGGGAAUGCAUCUCUAAGUGGGUGGUAAAUUCCAUCUAACGCUAAAUAUUGGCGAGAGACCGAUCGCGAACAAGUACAGUGAUGGAAAGAUGAAAAGCUCUUUGAAAAGAGAGUGAAACAGCACGUGAAAUUGUUGAAGGGGAGGGGCUUGCAAGCACACACGGUUUUACCGGGCCAGCGUCAAAAAGGGGGGAGGAACAGGAACUCGAAAAUGUGGCGCGCACCUUCGGGCGCGCGUGUUAUAUCUCGUGUUGACCCCUCCAUCCCUUUUCGAGGCCUGCGAUUCUGAGACGCUGGCGUAGUGGUUGCAACCCCCCCGUCUUG